GAAAAACAGCUACGAAGCUGGCAUCUGUGAAAUACAUCUUACUAUUGUUGAAGACAGUAAGGCUGGACAUCUUCUCAUGAAGCCAAGACCAGAAAGUAUUACCAGCAUGGAAACUGACAGUGUUAAAAAAAGGGAUUUUGACGAACUUCAAGAUCAGGUUAGGCGCUUAAAGAGGAGGGUUCGGGAACUCGAAAGGUUCCAA
rnacentral:lncRNA from 1 species